rnacentral:rRNA from 1 species
AGGACGAACGCUGGCGGCAGGCCUAACACAUGCAAGUCGAACGCUCUCGCAAGAGAGAGUGGCGCACGGGUGCGUAACGCGUGGGAAUGUACCUCUAGGUACGGAACAACCCAGGGAAACUUGGGCUAAUACCGUAUAAUAUCUUCGGAUCAAAGAUUUAUCGCCUAGAGAUCAGCCCGCGUAGGAUUAGCUAGUUGGUGAGGUAAUGGCUCACCAAGGCUACGAUCCUUAGCUGGUCUGAGAGGAUGAUCAGCCACACUGGAACUGAGACACGGUCCAGACUCCUACGGGAGGCAGCAGUGAGGAAUAUUGGACAAUGGGGGCAACCCUGAUCCAGCCAUGCCGCGUGAGUGAUGAAGGCCUUCGGGUUGUAAAACUCUUUUAGAUGUGACGAUGAUGACGGUAACAUCAGAAAAAGCUCCGGCUAACUUCGUGCCAGCAGCCGC